rnacentral:rRNA from 1 species
AUUGAACGCUGGCGGCAUGCUUUACACAUGCAAGUCGAGCGGCAGCGCGGGGGCAACCCUGGCGGCGAGCGGCGAACGGGUGAGUAAUGCAUUGGAACGUAUCCUCUUGUGGGGGAUAACCCACCGAAAGGUGGGCUAAUACCGCAUAAGCUCUGAGGAGGAAAGCGGGGGACCGAAAGGCCUCGCGCUGGAGGAGCGGCCGAUGUCCGAUUAGCUAGUUGGUGAGGUAAAGGCUCACCAAGGCGACGAUCGGUAGCUGGUCUGAGAGGAUGAUCAGCCACACUGGGACUGAGACACGGCCCAGACUCCUACGGGAGGCAGCAGUGGGGAAUUUUGGACAAUGGGGGCAACCCUGAUCCAGCCAUGCCGCGUGAGUGAAGAAGGCCU